rnacentral:rRNA from 1 species
AGAGUUUGAUCCUGGCUCAGGACGAACGCUGGCGGCGCGCCUAACACAUGCAAGUCGAACGAGCGAGAGAGAGCUUGCUUUCUCGAGCGAGUGGCGAACGGGUGAGUAACGCGUGAGGAACCUGCCUCAAAGAGGGGGACAACAGUUGGAAACGACUGCUAAUACCGCAUAAGCCCACGGGUCGGCAUCGACCAGAGGGAAAAGGAGCAAUCCGCUUUGAGAUGGCCUCGCGUCCGAUUAGCUAGUUGGUGAGGUAACGGCCCACCAAGGCGACGAUCGGUAGCCGGACUGAGAGGUUGAACGGCCACAUUGGGACUGAGACACGGCCCAGACUCCUACGGGAGGCAGCAGUGGGGAAUAUUGCACAAUGGGGGAAACCCUGAUGCAGCGACGCCGCGUGGAGGAAGAAGGUCUUCGGGUUGUAAACUCCUGUUGUUGAGGAAGAUAAUGACGGUACUCAACAAGGAAGUGACGGCUAACUACGUGCCAGCAGCCGCGGUAAAACGUAGGUCACAAGCGUUGUCCGGAAUUACUGGGUGUAAAGGGAGCGCAGGCGGGAAGACAAGUUGGAAGUGAAAUCCAUGGGCUCAACCCAUGAACUGCUUUCAAAACUGUUUUUCUUGAGUAGUGCAGAGGUAGGCGGAAUUCCCGGUGUAGUGGUGGAAUGCGUAGAUAUCGGGAGGAACACCAGUGGCGAAGGCGGCCUACUGGGCACCAACUGACGCUGAGGCUCGAAAGUGUGGGUAGCAAACAGGAUUAGAUACCCUGGUAGUCCACACCGUAAACGAUGAUUACUAGGUGUUGGAGGAUUGACCCCUUCAGUGCCGCAGUUAACACAAUAAGUAAUCCACCUGGGGAGUACGACCGCAAGGUUGAAACUCAAAGGAAUUGACGGGGGCCCGCACAAGCAGUGGAGUAUGUGGUUUAAUUCGACGCAACGCGAAGAACCUUACCAAGUCUUGACAUCCUGUGACAGACGUAGAAAUACGUUCUUCCUUCGGGACACAGAGACAGGUGGUGCAUGGUUGUCGUCAGCUCGUGUCGUGAGAUGUUGGGUUAAGUCCCGCAACGAGCGCAACCCUUAUGGUCAGUUACUACGCAAGAGGACUCUGGCCAGACUGCCGUUGACAAAACGGAGGAAGGUGGGGAUGACGUCAAAUCAUCAUGCCCUUUAUGACUUGGGCUACACACGUACUACAAUGGCGUUAAACAAAGAGAAGCAAGACCGCGAGGUGGAGCAAAACUCAGAAACAACGUCCCAGUUCGGACUGCAGGCUGCAACUCGCCUGCACGAAGUCGGAAUUGCUAGUAAUCGUGGAUCAGCAUGCCACGGUGAAUACGUUCCUGGGCCUUGUACACACCGCCCGCCACACCAUGAGAGCCGG